UGUUGGUUUAAAAUGAGGAUAAGAAAACCGUAAGCUCCACGCUCGCGCCACACGAUUUUUCUUCUUCUUCUUCGGUCAAUGCCCAGUCGUCGCCGUCUCCCUUCUGCCUCGCUGUCAGUUUGUGCGCCGUCGCUCCCAGCCGCCCUUCGAGCAGCAACUAUCGCGUCAUCCACCUCGUUUGCUACCUUCCAGAUCUGACCAAUACGAUUCUCUCUUGCAUUUCCGGCGAGGUAUUGUUCCGACAAAACAAUAUCCACGACGUUUGGACCUUUGAUCUACGGAUUGGAGCCUAUUCGAGGUCGAACAACACUAUUUCGCGAGGAUUUCUUGGAGGAUGUCAUAUGAAAGGGUACACCGAGUCCAAGACCGAAGUCUUCCCUCUUUCCAGUAUCCUGCUCAGUAGCUUUCUCCCCAUAUGAAAGGUAACUCGAUUCCAUCCUCCCUAAUAGAGACAUCUCCUUUCCCAUGUUCCUUUGUUGUUCUUAAUUCUCUUUUGUAGGGAAUUUUUGUUCUCUAUGGGCAGUUUCUCUUGAAGUGCCCUUCAUUUUGGCAAAUGAAGCACCUUAGAACAUUUGUUUCCUUCUGAAAACAUUGCCCCUUUACGAACUUCCCUUUUCUUGGAUUAUACCAUUUUCUUUUGUAAACGAGGAUUCAGCAUCUCCAUUUCCCUUUGUUUCAGAUUUCAACUCUUAACUGCUUGCAUCUCAAAGCUGUAAUAACAGUGUCGUUAUUGAGUGCAUCGCUUCCAUAUUUGAAGACCGAUUUCACAUUGCUAGAACUAUCAGGCAAUGAUUUGAGAAUUGCUGCUUCACUUUCCUCUCCUAGUUACUCCCCAGUUUGGGGCAAUAUCUCAGAACUUUGGAUUUAGUUAUGUUCGUAGUUUGUACGAAAGCAUGAUAUAAAAAGCAUGUAAUAGAAAUUUGAGCCUAAACUAAGUUGAUCCGAUUCAUGAAAAAGCAUGUCGAAGUUAUAUGAUGCAUGUUUUCCAAGAAAUAAAUUGUUAGAGCGCUAUAUAUGUUGAACAUUAUUUAGUACGAUAGAAAGCAUGUUAUAAGAAACUUAUUAUCAAGAUUUGGGCAUGGGAUGAUCUAAGACGAUAUAUGUUGAACAUUAUUAUGUAUGUUUUCUAAGAAAAGUACGAACUAAACUAUGAACGGUAUGGAUAUGAAAUUAUGACUAGGUAUCCAUGUUUAGGUCGCCUAUGUAUGUUUCUAUUAUAUAUGUAUGUGAUUGUAGCGGUUAUAUGGGGAUGAUUAAAGAUUCGCCAACUAGUCUUAAUCAUAAACCUGACUUGAUUGUCAGGGGUCUGAAAAAAUAUAGAACAAACUUAUGAUAUAUGAUUGUAUUAUGUGGGGCUAUUUAUGAAGUUUGCAAGUUAGCUUUUCUUUA